UGUGUGUGUUGUAAAGUGAGAGUCCAAAUGUGGCAAUUUUACUUGACGGAACGCCAUCGGUAGUCCAAGCACGGGAAAAGACACUAGCUAUUAGGCGAUGUGUUUGUUUAAUGGACAUUAAUUAGGUUCGAUUAAUAUGCAUUAUUUUUAAAUUUGCUUUAUUCUUUGUUUACGAUUGUGCAAUGCACGAGUUGUGCUUCAAAACUUACCUCCUCCAAAGCCGCCGCCUCCUCCACCUCCGUGAUGAUCAUCGUGGCCUCCUCCAAAACCUCCGCCUGAAAAUACAAUUUUGUUUCAGCCUUGUUAAGUGUUUUAUUUUUUUUUCUGUUUAUUUCAUUAUCUAGUGGAAUUCUACCUGUGUUCAUGUAAUUAUUUUAAAGAAAAACAGAAUCAGCCAAUUAAAUGCUGCUUGUUUCGAGCGAGAACAUUUUUUUAAGCAGAUUUUGUAGAUUAAAUUUAAAAUUUGAUUGUAUUUGUUUUUAAUGUUAAGGUUAAGGCUAAUGGUUAUUGGUGUUGAGUUUAAUAAAUUUGUUGCUUUUUAAA